UUUCCGUAGGUGAACCUGCGGAAGGAUCAUUAUUGUAUAACCGAGGUGCGAGGGCUGUCGCUGACCCGAAAGGUCGUGCACGCCCGAGUGCCCUCACACACAUCCAUCUCACCCCUAUAUGCACCACCGCGUGGGUCCCCCUUUGGCUUGUUCGGAGGGGGGCUUACGUUUUCACACAAACUUUGUAUGCAGUGUAGAAUGUAUUUUUUGUUUUUGCGAUCACGCAUCAAUACAACUUUCAACAACGGAUCUCUUGGCUCUC
rnacentral:misc_RNA from 1 species